CCCUUAGAUGUUCUGGGCCGCACGCGCGCUACACUGAUGCAUUCAACGAGUUUCUUCCUGGUCCGAGAGGAAUGGGUAACCUUUUGAAAGUGCAUCGUGAUAGGGAUAGACUAUUGCAAUUAUUGGUCUUCAACGAGGAAUUCCUAGUAGACGUAGUUCAUCAGACUGCAUCGAUUACGUCCCUGCCCUUUGUACACACCGCCCGUCGCUCCUACCGAUUGAAUGCUCAGGUGAGCCAUUCGGACUUUCAUCAUGCUGGUUUCCAGUUUUGAUGAAGGAAAGUCUUGCGAACCUUAUCAUUUAGAGGAAGGAGAAGUCGUAACU
rnacentral:rRNA from 1 species